AAUUAUGUUAGUUUAAAAAAAUAAAAGUAAAUUUUUUUAAAAAAUAUUCAAACUGCUUCUGUUAAAUAUGAGACUUUAAAUUAAAAAGAGCUGAAAAAUGAACGAUCUGGCAAGUUCAUCAUAGCUCGCGGUCUCGAAAUAAAGACAUUCUGACGAUUCAAAACUUAAUCUCUAAAUAUAUGCCCAAAACAAUAAACACAUUCAACAGCUCAUUAGAAGUUAUAAAUUUGCAAAUAGAGAGGAGAACCCCUAGAGGUGCCGACGAUUUUACCCUAGUGGACGAGCCCCGCGAUUUUUCUUCUCGACCCUGCUCGAUAGCUUCUCGGCACUAACGAUCAUCAUCGUCACGACUUCCUCCUCUUGAGAGGCACGGAAUGUUGGGUUUUUGUGUUUCUACGGUUACGGGUUUUCUUUUUCUUCUUGACACCCUUCGGCAACAAGGCAGUGACCGCGAUGUCUCCUCCACCUACGACGCACAUGGCGGCGGCCGAAGCUCUAACGCUGACCCACGCCAGCAGAUGGUGCGGUGGCUCGUCGAAUGGAUGAGCUGCGUCUGGGAGAGGUGGAGUAAGUCGCCUUCGAUUUUGCCCCACCGAAGCAGACCUUUGAGAGUCCCCUGAAGGUGCAAAAUGGUAUCAAGAAACGCUCAAAAAACCUAUUACUAGCAGGCCUGAACAUCAAACCCUGACCGGAGCAGUGACAUUAAGUCCACUGCGGAGACAUUCACAAAUAGCUCUAUCAUAAUUCUUAGCGGAUAAGUCCAGUUUUGGUUUAAUAGUACGCCCCAAUAGGGGGCGAACAACUUCUUUCCCUUCAUACUGGAUGAAAUUGUCCAUAGUUGUCGAAGCAAUUGCAAUUCAGGUUCUUCAAGGUUUUAUAAACACCGGACAACACUAAGCAGCUAGUGGGAUUUGUUGUGCAGGUUGCGUCAAUCACGCAUCCACCGAAGGCAAUUCCUCUACAUCAAAUGCCUCGUUUAUCAUCAUGCCUUUACCAUAUGCAGCAAUUAGCAAAGCCUCCGCUCUCCC
rnacentral:lncRNA from 1 species